AGAGGGGUGCGAGCGUUAAUCGGAAUUACUGGGCGUAAAGAGCACGUAGGUGGGAUAAGUAAGUUGGAUGUGAAAGCCCUAGGGCUUAACCUAGGAAUGUCAUCCAAAACUGCUUGUCUAGAGUACAGUAGAGGAAAGUGGAAUUUCCGGUGUAGCGGUGAAAUGCGUAGAUAUCGGAAGGAACAUCAGUAGCGAAGGCGACUUUCUGGACUGAUACUGACACUGAGGUGCGAAAGCGUGGGGAGCGAACAGGAUUAGAUACCCUGGUAGUCCACGCCGUAAACGAUGAGAACUAGCCGUUGGGAACCAUUGAGUUCUUUGUGGCGCAGUUAACGCGUUAAGUUCUCCGCCUGGGGAGUACGGCCGCAAGGCUA
rnacentral:rRNA from 1 species